GGAAAAACUAAAGUUACUUUUUUGCUAAUUCAAGUCACACUAUUAUGUGUUUCAUGCAUAUCAAUCAUGUGAAGUCAGAAAAUACACAUUAACUUGAAGCACUGUUGGGGAAUGUUCCAGAGACAGAGCAUUUAAGAGUUUUCAGGCUAUAAAAUGGUUUCACCAUUUGAAAUGAUCCACACGAAUAAACAUUGUCACAGAAUCUCUUGAAUUGUUUUUGUGUCAGAAAAAGUUCAUUGUAAAAUACGUAAUAGUGUUUCGUAUAUAAAGUUGCGGUGCAAAGAAUGGAUGGCAACAGCCUGACAAUCUCACUUUAAAACGAUACCAAAAAGGCAAUGUUAAAGCAUAAGGCCAUAACACAUUUCAACUUUUUAUUUAAUAUUGAAUUAAAAAUUGUACAAAAACCAGUGUGGAGUGCGAAGCUAAGGGAAUAUUUUUGUUUGUGUUUGUGGAAUUUAUUUAUUUUGUUCCUGUACUUGUGUCUUGCUUAAAGGGACAAUAUGCGAUUUUCAAAUUGCAUGCCUUACUUUUGGGCACCUGGAAAAAGAGACCACUGAGUCCUACUCUCUUCUGCCUCAGUGCACAUCAGGGUCACCCAUGAAAAUUUUAAAAUAAAGAUGCACUUUAAAAAAAAAAACAAAGUAUGGCAGUUCAGUAAAGAUUCCUCAGAAGUUCAAAGAGUGCCAAGAGAGAGUUUUUUUUGUGUGUCCAGGUUUAAGAAAUAUUUUAUAACCACAGUAUAACCGGUACAGUAGCUGAAAAUGUGGUAGAUCUUUAUGACAUCUCUGAUCGUCCAUAUUCACUGAUAAUUUACAGACUGCUGUAUUCGAUCACUCCUAUCACUUCACCCUCUGAUUUGCUAUUUUCAUGACAUGUCCAGUUGUAAAAUAAUCCAUAAAAUUUAAUCAGAGGCAUUAGAUGGGCCAGAGAGAGUAGAUUUUUUUUAACAGAUGAGUUAAGUAAUAUUCUCCUGGUAGGUCUGUAUGUACAUUGUGUAUAUACUGUAUAUAUGUAAAUGUAUGUAAUGUAUGUAUAUAUGAAAUGUAUGUAUAGUGUAGUGGUGCACACACCUGACUUCGGUGCGGGCAGUGUGAGAUUGAGUCCCGUUCAGAGAUUGUGUCGCUUUGUCCCCUUCGACGAACAGGUAGUACGCCUUUUGACCGAAGUUAGCUAGCAUAUUAUCCAAACUCCUGGGACCCUUGUGAGGAUAAGCAGCUUGUAAAAUGUAUGUCGCUGAGGCUAAAUGGCUCAGAUGAUGGACCGGUGGAUGGAUGUUAUAAGGUGCUCGAUGAGCGCAGCAACUUUAUUUUUUACUGUGAAAUAUAUGCUUUUAUUUUGUUGAGUAAAUGAAUGUCAUGCUAACGAUACGAAACUGUGCAACAACGUUCUCCAGUGCAACAUCGUUAGUUUCAUUUUGCUUUCAACACUCCUGUAACGUUUCAAAGAAGAGUACUGCACAGAACAAAACUGCCAAUUGAUCAUCAUGAAGCAGGCAAAACUGCUCUACAGUGUGAAAGCUAUAAAACAUCAAUAAAAGGAACUGGAGUCUGACGAACGAUCUAUGGGCGGCAUACUGCAUGUGAAAAUAUCCAUCCAUUUUCCGGAUUGCUUAUCCUCACUAGGGUCAUGAGCAAGUUAGAGUCAAUCCCAUGUGACUCAACGCAAGAGAAAAAACAUGGCUUCUUGGAAAACUUGAUACUGCUGAAGGGGGGGAUGCUGACUGUCUCUCUGGCUGGGCUUCCUCCUCCCUGUUCUGCUGUCAUCAGGUGAUGUCACCAACAAUGAAGGGGUCGCCACAGAGUGUCAUCUUAGAUGAACGCAUAUUUGUUUGGCACAGUUUUAUACCGGAUACCCAUCCUGACGCAACCCCUCUGCAUUUGGCUGGGGAGAGAAGCUCACAGCACCUGAUAUUUCCAGGCAGUCUCCCAUCCAGGUCAACUCAAGAUUGUCGUGGUUUUAUUGGUGUAACAGCAUUCAUGACAUUUGAGAUUUUUCAGGUGAAAGUUCAUUAUCUUUCAAAGUUCAUCUAAAAGUUCAUCAAUAAUGCCAGCAUUCACAGUUUGUGGCACAGUGACAGUCUCUAUAAACGUAGUGGCAGCACUCUCAUUUACGUACCUUUUCUUAGACAUACAGGUUAUCUAACUUCUGAAAGAUACUACAAUUCAAAGAAUACACAAAAAUGGUCAGAAAUGGGCAUAUCCUUCAUGUCGCUUGGAAUGUUAAUUUUCUGAAUGUCUUAAUUUUAAAAUGUUUAGGAAGUUUAUGUUCUACUACGUUUAAAAAGUUAAAUUUUAUCUCACUUCUUCUAUCUCUUAUUCUUCUAUUUCACUUUUACCACACUUUAUCUCACUUCAUUUUGUUGCCCACAGGUGAUUAGAUAUCUGAUAUGCUUGAUUGCAUUUGAUUUACAGUAUUUUGUAUUUAGUUUGAUGAUUAUUUAGCCGACUACUGUCAAUAUAAAAUAAUAAUAUAAUACUGAUAGACCAACCAAGACAACUAUCAUGUAGUUAGACUAGCAUCUGUGCUCAUGUUAACUUUCAACAGUCUUGUGCAGUGCUGUUAUAAGCUUUGAUAGGCAGUAAAAUAAAAAAGGAUAAGAGUAGCUGAAACACCAACAACUGUGUCACAGAUGGGAAAGCCAAGCAAAAUUUGCUUUAUUAUUAAGGAUUAAUGCUGGCUGAAUAAGAAUGACAAACCAUGAAAUUUAUGUUAUCAGAAUCAGCUUUACUGACCAAAUGUGUAAAAACACACCCAAGGAAAUUUUUCCCCGGCAGACGGUGCUGCCCUGGUACGACAUACAGAACAAAGACCAACAAAGCAGCAAGAACAAAGAACAAGAGACAUUUCGAUUUAUAUUAAUUAUUGCUUAUUGUCAUGAUCCUGCCUUCCAGUUCUGGCUGGACGUGGCCAGCACACCGGCGCUGAUUAGGAGGCGCACACCUGCGCCUCAUCUUGACUGAUUAUACUCGGUAUUUAUAGGACUCUGGGGACAACUGGUCUUCGCCAGAUCGUUGCCUUUCAUGCCUCGUUCCCGCACUUGCGUACUCUUGACACCAACCUCCCGU